AACGAACGCUGGCGGCAGGCUUAACACAUGCAAGUCGAACGGAUCCUUCGGGAUUAGUGGCAGACGGGUGAGUAACGCGUGGGAACGUACCCUUUGCUACGGAAUAACUCAGGGAAACUUGAGCUAAUACCGUAUGUGCCCUACGGGGGAAAGAUUUAUCGGCAAAGGAUCGGCCCGCGUUGGAUUAGCUAGUUGGUGGGGUAAUGGCCUACCAAGGCGACGAUCCAUAGCUGGUCUGAGAGGAUGAUCAGCCACACUGGGACUGAGACACGGCCCAGACUCCUACGGGAGGCAGCAGUGGGGAAUAUUGGACAAUGGGCGCAAGCCUGAUCCAGCCAUGCCGCGUGAGUGAUGAAGGUCUUAGGAUUGUAAAGCUCUUUCACCGGUGAAGAUAUUGACGGUAGCCGGAGAAGAAGCCCCGGCUAACUUCGUG
rnacentral:rRNA from 1 species